GCCAAUAAAAAUGCAGGACAGUCAAUUUUAGUGGAUCGUAAUGGAUGAACUGGAUAUGACUCGGAUGUUGUGGGCCUAAAUCUGACCUGCAGAGAAUGGAGCUGAGCACUGAGGUUCACCAGCCGCUGAGACACCUCCUAAAACAAACACAAAGUCCAUACAUGCACAGAACAGAACAGAACAGAACUCAGUAAUGACAGGAAACAUCCUCUGCAUUUAUGGACGAGUUUGCACAGACGUCCAUCAGAAACUGCACAGAUGAGUGUUACUGGUUGUUAUGGAACAUGGAUCAUACUCACUUAUCACUAGCGCCCCUGUGUGAUUGUGGUGGCCGUUGGAACUACAGGAUGAAGAGAUUUCCAAACUGGAUCCCAGUAACAGCUCGGUUCCUGGAGUUUUGUGGCAGUGCAACUUCUUGGCCUCCCAUAACCUCAGUAAGAUCAGUGAAAAGUGUGACACGCUCCUGCAGCAGUUCAAGCACCUCCCUGUCCUUCUGCUGGAUAUCAGCUAUGAGAGAGGUCAGAAAGAUAUAAAGCAAUGAAGCAGUGUAUAAAGUGUAGCUGUAACA